GAUAACCUAUAACCACCCUGUAUAUAGAUAACCUAAGUCCCAACCUGCUAGCCAUUACAAUUUUGCUUAUUAUUGUUUAUAUAACAAAUUUUGCGACUUCCCAUACAAUUAUUAACGACUCCGCUUCAAACUGAAAUAUUUUCCCGCCAUUUUGCCACGUUGAGGUACCAACUUUCGCAACUCUGUUUUUUUUUUUACAACUAGUAUAUAUUUAUAAAAUACAAGUUCUACUUUAUUAUCGAUAUUUUUAGAGAUCUUCCUCCGUUAACGAAGGGCGAACAUUUUCGAAGGGGUGGCCGUAAAUAUUUUGUCAAGCAGAGCCAGGAGCUUAUGGACCUAACAUUAGGGAUUCCGGAGCGGUAGGAGCACCGGGUUCGCAUUGUAUUUACUCGUUCGAUUAACCCUGCGAUUGUGACUGGUCGUGAUUUCCUCCUUCUGGACCAGUUAACCAAGGAUUUCUCGUACAGGACCUGUUCUACCCUAAGGCCGCUCCACUCCACCUCCAACAACUGAUUUCGCAGUCCAGGGACAGUAUAGGUUAGGAUUUUUUUUAAAGGGAAUUAGGACGGAUAAAUACAGGAAUGAUUUGCAUUUGCAACGUGGAUAUAGGGCGCCAUCUUGACGAGGAGGCUCGAAACUAAUAAACAACGGCGUCAACUCGAAUGGGCACCACUUGUAUGUUUCCGUUAGAUACAUCCCUGACGCUCGGUACAGUGCGCAUGCGCGAAAUGGCGG